UUUUUUUUUUUUUUUUUUUUUUUUUUUUUUUUGUCUCUUCUGUUUUUGAUGACAGGUUGAAAGCAUGUUGAAAAAAAUAAAUAUUUAAGGGAAGCACACACACACAGCACCCUCACUACAAGUGGUUCUAAAAGGGCCGCGUACAAAACAACAGGAUCUAAACAAAAGACAACCACUAGAAAGUAUGGCUUCUUAAAGAGCUGCACAUGUCACAAAAUGAGCUGAAGAUUAUCUUUCAUAAUAUUGCAAAAAGUUCCAGUUUUGCAUUUUCUCAGUUUUCUUUCUUAAAAAGGAAGAUGUGCAAAGUUGGAAGCAUAGCUGUGUCCCGAGUCAGGCCCUGGAGAGUCCUGGCAGCAUCCUAUUGCCCAGACCCAGAGUCCAAACAACCUGGCCAGGAUCCAGAGCUCCCUACAAAAAUCAUGGUUUCCCUAUUCACAUACCCCCACCACCAUGGACUGUAUCUUCCACUUUGGUGUUGCAAACACCAAGGUAUAAACAGACACAAACAACAACAAAAAUACAAAAUGUGAAAUGUAAUCUACACAUUAUUUUCCUCUUCAUAAAAAAAUAUUUAUUAGUUUGAACAUUGAUUAAAAAAAAAUCAGUCACAUAAAAAAAAAAAAACCUUCAUUACAUACGUCUUUUCCCUCCAUGCCUCCUGAGAUGGAUGUGUUCAUCUGGGUUUGAAAUUCCACUCUCCAACUAGCAAACUGAGAACAGCGGACCUGCCACACAGCAGACGGGGAAGAUGGUGGACAGAUUGGGACCCUUGGUUUUCCGGCAGGGAGGUGAAGCAGCACACUGCAGCAAGGACACCCACCUCCAGUGUUAGCAGCAACGAUGGCAGGAGUCCGGCUGCAGCCCGUCCCAAGAGGGGUCAGCAGGAGCCCUGGAGCAAGCCCAGGGUGGACAAGGGGCCCAGGCUCUCUAAGGAAGUGCACCCAGAGCUGAGGCCCUCAUGGCAGAACUGUUUUGGGCCUGAGAUGGGGAGCCUGGCCAGGGGUCUCCUCCCUGACUGAGGAGUCCUGCAUGGAAGGAGCUGCGGCCUCCUCAGGCCCCGCCCUCCAGGACCACCCGAGAGAGCACCUGGAGCCCUGGAUCUCGAGGAUCUGCAGCUGCUUUGUUAAGCACCAAAGCCCAGAGGUAAGAGGAUGGCAGGGCUUUCUGUGCACCAGACCUGGGUUCUACAGGCUGCCACUGUGUGGCAGGAGCCAAGAGGGCAAAGGGCCACUGCGGGGUCACAGGCAGCCACCUGGCUGCAGGGCUUGAGCAGUGCUGCGGACGGAUGCAGCUCGGUGUAUGCAAAACUCUCAACAUGGACUCAGACCUGUGGCCUCGAGGAUGAGCUCAUGCCCCUGGCCAGCCUGGCCAGCCUGCAUCCAGGGUCUGGCCAGCCACAGAGGGCUCCUUUGAUGCUCUGGAGGCACGCCCCAGACCAGACCCGUCACACACCCGCAGGCACCUGCUGGGGACUCCAGGCAUCCCAGGACAGGCAGGAGCAUGCGCUCUCCCUUGACCGCAAGGCCAUGGCCGGUGUCUGUGGGAGUGGGGCUGGUUGCAGGGAGGACCAGAGGAGGGGCAGAGAAGGGCGCUGCGAAGGGCGCUGCCCUGCCGUCGGGUGUUGAGACCCACUAAGACACACACACAGGUGGACGGAACGACGCAGCCACCACCCCACCAUCAGACCCUGCCCACUGGGGCAGGGCCUAGGAGAUCCAGGCGAAGUCCUUUUCAGGCCCUGCAGUGGGGCUGCGGGGGCCCUGUGGUGAAAAGGCACAGCUCCCUCCCCCAGCUGGAGCCUGAGGUCGACUGAGAGCCUAGGACAGAGAUCAGCAACUGAGGUCAGCAGAAGAGGCACAUUGGCCAGGAAGGGACAGGAUCAGUGCCCCUUACCAGGGCUAUGCCUGACAGGGAGCAACAGCAUUUGGGAGAGGGUCCUCCAGAGAGCAGGACACAAAGGCCCUAGGACCUGAGGACACACAGACGGGAUGCCUUCUGCAGAAGGGGACAGGAUGCCUGCUGCUGUUUGGAACCUGUGGAGACUUCAGCAUGGGCACUGGAGUCUGUGGAGAAGCACAGCACCCCUGGCUAACUUGAGGAGGGCUUGGAGGGAUUGGUCACAACCAAGCCCGGACCCUACUUUUCAAGAACAAAGGCCAGUGGGCCCACACGUGGCAAGCUACCUGUGAGCCUCGGUCCACCCUCUGGUUGGACCUGGUGCUAGCCACGCUUCUGCCCUCAAGGGCCAGCAGCCUCCCCAGUCCUCCAGGCUCUCUCGGCCCCUCUGUGUCCAUGUGCAAGAGCUGGAGCUGUGUGACAGCUGCACACAGGGAGGGAGCUGUCCAGGGGGUGUCUGAAGCCAGCUCUCCACAGCCUGCAAGAAAGUCCUGUCACACAGAGACUGCAGCCAGGCUGAGGGGGAGGGGGUCCUGCUGGGGUGGCUGAGAGCGUCCCAGGCUCAUGUGUUGAAGGCACGGUCCCCGACGCAGCAGUAGUCAGAGGUGGGGCCUCUGGGAGGGGCUCACCCUGAGGGUCCGGACCUCCUCAGUGGCUGGGUCCUGGAUGGUGAACGCACUACCUGAGGUGGGGCUGGCUGGAGGAGGGUCUCUGGGGCAUGCCCUGGGAGGCUUCCCCGCUGUGGAGUCGGCCCACCAUGGACUGAAUCCUCUGAAACCAUGAGUCACAAUAAACUUUUCCUCUUCUAA